UGAUGGUUCAUAUUAUUCAUCUGGCCUGCUUCUAGGUAUUUAUAUGGGGAGGUGUAGGUCCACUGCAUUCAGAUGUUACCUUAGCCGGCAUUGCAAAAGCUUUUGAUGUUCGUUUGGCUCCUGAUGAAGAAUUUGAAGAAUAUCUAUGGCUUAUUAUUGGUGAUCAGUGUAUUGGUGAUAGGAAUGAGAAGCAACAUAUUUAGAGCAAGUGGAUAUGGAAACGGCAUCACCACUACAUUUGAGGGAGGCUUUUUUUGAAGAUAAAUAUUUAGAGUAAGUGGAUAUUGCAAAUGUAGCAGAAGCAACAUAUUGAUUAUUAGCCCAUGGUAGAACCCAUGAUAAACCUCCUGGUGUUUCCUGAAGACGGUACUCUUCCAUCUAAAACAAGCUGCAUGCAUAUGUGUUCCAAUAUAUUAGAAUAUUUAGGUAGC